AAACUGUCUCCUCCCCAGAGGCCAGAGGCCCUGUGUGUGUCCCAAACCACGUCCAGAGCUUCCCAAGAAUCGUCUCAAAUUGAAAUAACCCCCGAUGGCCAUAGGGGAGUGGAGAAGUAUAUUCACAGAAUGGAACGGUACAACGCAAUGAAAAAGGGACGCUCUGAUAUAGGCAACAAAAUGCACGAAUCUCCAAAAAGAGGGGAAGAACCCAAGCAUCAAGUGUAUGCAUGGACUGAUCUUUGAUGAGAAUUUGAAAUGGGAGACACCCGGAUGGAGUGAGUAGGG